rnacentral:rRNA from 1 species
GACGAACGCUGGCGGCGUGCUUAACACAUGCAAGUCGAACGAAGUGGCGAACGGGUGAGUAACGCGUAAUCAACCUGCCCUUCAGAGGGGGACAACAGUUGGAAACGACUGCUAAUACCGCAUACUGAAGGAGGGGAUUGCGGCUGAUUAGCUAGUUGGAGGGGUAACGGCCCACCAAGGCGAUGAUCAGUAGCCGGUCUGGGAGGAAGAACGGGCACAUUGGGACUGAGACACGGCCCAGACUCCUACGGGAGGCAGCAGGUGGGGAUCUUCCGCAAUGGGCGAAAGGCUGACGGCGCAACGCCGCGUGAGUGAUGACGGCCUUCGGGUUGUAAAGCUCUGUUAAUCGGGACGCGGUACCGGAAUAGAAAGCCACGGCUAACUACGUGCCAGCAGCCGCGGUAAUUC